GGUCCGCCAGAUUAUUACAAGUAAAAGCUUAAAACUCAAAGGACUUGACGGUGUUCCACACACAACCUAGAGGAGCCUGUCCUAUAAUCGAUGAUCCACGAAAGACCCGACCACCUUUUGCCAAACAACCUAUAUACCGCCGUCACAAGUUCACCUCAUGAAGGGAGAAAAGUGGACAAAAUAGCCAAACACAAAUACGCCAGGUCAAGGUGUAGUUCAUAGGGUGGACAGAGAUGGGCUACAUUUCCUACUAAAGGAAAAACGGAAGAUAAAAUGAAAGUCAAUCGGAAGGAGGAUUUAGUAGUAA
rnacentral:rRNA from 1 species